rnacentral:rRNA from 1 species
AAUAUUGGACAAUGGGGGCAACCCUUAUCCAGCCAUGCCGCGUGUGUGAAGAAGGUCUUCGGAGUGUAAAGCACUGUAAGGGUGGAGGAAGGGCGUUAGGUUAAUACUCUGAAGUUUUGACGUUACCAACAGAAUAAGCACCGGCUAACUCUGUGCCUGCAGCCGCGGUAAUACAGAGGGUGCAAGCGUUAAUCGGAAUUACUGGGAGUAAAGCGCGCGUAGGUGGUUCAGUAAGAUGGGUGUGAAAACCCCGGGAUUAACCUGGGAACUGCUUUCAUAACUGCUGAGCUAGAGUACGGUAGAGGGUAGUGGAAUUUCCUGUGUAGCGGUGAAAUGCGUAGAUAUAGGAAGGAAAACAAGUGGCGAAGGCGACUACCUGGACUGAUACUGACACUGAGGUGCGAAAGCGUGGGGAGCAAACA